CCUGCAUCACUUAAUAAGAAAUUCAUGUUGCUGCAUCGCUUGAUACAAAGAGACCAAUGUGUAAACCUUAUGAAUAUAUUAUAUAACUCAGGUUCUUCGAUGCCCUUCAUCAUUUUUACCUUAUUGUCUCCAAUCAAUGUCACUAGCCCUUGUUUCUUCAUAGGCUUCAACUAUAAUGCAUCAGCGGUUCAGAUUGUACUGCCGAGAAGUGAAGGUUCGUAAGAUGCAUCAUAAGGAUUAGCACGCUGCAAGUUCAGAGCCUUUUGUUUUCAACAGUUGGGUUAUGAUCAUUGCUAGUUACCCCUAAUGCUAAGAAGGUGCAUAUUUUGGCCAAUGUUGAACAAUCACUGCUGCAAAUGGUUAGAAAGAUUUAUUGCAGAAUUUUAAUGAAGCACACUACAAGACCACAACGGAAAAAUUAUACAUGUUGCAGUCAGGACCUGUCGGUGUUGAAGUACAUGCAAAAGUUUAGAUAGAUUCCAGCUACUUACAAGUACAU